rnacentral:rRNA from 1 species
UACGGGGGGGGCAAGCGUUGUUCGGAAUUACUGGGCGUAAAGGGUUUGUAGGUGGCCGGCUAAGUCAGACGUGAAAUCCCUCAGCUUAACUGGGGAACUGCGUCUGAAACUGAUCGGCUCGAGUGCAGGAGAGGAACGCGGAAUUCCAGGUGUAGCGGUGAAAUGCGUAGAUAUCUGGAGGAAUACCGGUGGCGAAGGCGGCAUCCUGGACCAUUACUGACGCUGAGGCGCGAAAGCUAGGGGAGCAAACGGG